UUGAGACUAAUUGAGUACAAAUACCAAUCCUCUUAUAACCAAUUUUGUGUUGCUUUAUUAGCCAAUACGUCAUUCGUGUUUUCUUCAACAUGUUACACCUUUAAGAAACAAUUGUAUGAUUGCCCUACUUUAGAUACAGUGAGCAGUUCCUUUUUUUCUCCUUUGAUUAGUCUACAUUCAAGUAUUCGAUCUGAUAGGGUUCAAGAUUCAUGCUAUGGCUUCUGCGAUUCUGCC
rnacentral:lncRNA from 1 species